rnacentral:snRNA from 1 species
UUGCUUUGGCAGCACAUAUACUAAAACUUGAACUAAAGGAGAUUAGCGUGGCUCCUGUGCAAGGGUGACACACAGGUCCGUGAAGCAUAAACAGGCAUU